CGGAGUUAGCCGGGGCUUCUUCUGCGGGUACCGUCAUCAUCUUCCCCGCCGAAAGCGCUUUACAACCCUAAGGCCUUCUUCACGCACGCGGCACGGCUGGAUCAGGGUUGCCCCCAUUGUCCAAUAUUCCCCA
rnacentral:rRNA from 1 species